AUAAAGUUUUAUUCUUGCUUUAUAUUAUAUAAACUUAUUUAGUAAAUAUGAAUUUUAUAGAUUAAUUUUUGGUAUUAUUUAAAUUUAAAGAAAACUUAAUUAGUGUAUUAGAAAUAAGAAAAAUAAUAGUUAAAAUUGUGCCAGCAACUGCGGUUAUACAAUUAUUAUAAUAUAAUAAUUUUCGUAUUUUAAUAAUUUGACUAAUUUUAUUAAAUUAAAUUUAUUUAAGGUGAAAUUUAAUAAUUUAAUUUUAAGCUAUAUUAAAUAUUUAAAUGAAUUAAAGUAAUAAACUAGGAUUAGAUACCCUAUUAUAUUUAUUAAAUUUAAAUGCGAAGUAGUAAUUAUUAUAAAAUGAAACUUAAAGAAUUUGGCGGUACUUAUUCAAAUUAGAGGAAUAUGUUUUUAAAAUGAUAAUCCCCAAAUAUCUUACUUUAAUUUUAUUUUUGUAUAUCUCCGUCUAAAAAAAUUUUUUUAAAAUAUAUUUUAUUAAUCUUAAAAGAUAGAAGUCAGGUCAAGGUGCAGGUUAUAUUAAAGUAAAAAUGUAUUACAAUAAAAUUAUUUAUGGAAAUGAAUUGGAAUAUUCAUCUUAAAUUGGAUUUAAAAGUAAAUUUUUUUUAAUAAAAAUUAAUUGAAUAAAGUAAAUAAUUAUGUACAUAUUGCCCGUCAUUCUCUUAGGAGACAAGUCGUAACAAAGUAGAUUUACUGGAAAGUGAAUCUGAUUCAAG
rnacentral:ncRNA from 1 species